UACAGAGGGGGCAAGCGUUGUUCGGAAUUACUGGGCGUAAAGGGCGCGUAGGCGGCCCGCUAAGUCGAACGUGAAAUCCCCGGGCUCAACCCGGGAACUGCGUCCGAUACUGGCAGGCUUGAAUCCGGGAGAGGGAUGCGGAAUUCCAGGUGUAGCGGUGAAAUGCGUAGAUAUCUGGAGGAACACCGGUGGCGAAGGCGGCCCCCUGGUUGGAUACUGACGCUGAUACGCGAAAGCGUGGGGAGCAAACAGGG
rnacentral:rRNA from 1 species